AACUGAAAAAAUAUAACGCGAAGGUCUGACAUUUUCAGACCGGCAUUUCCAUAGACAACCCCGGCUAUAUUUUGGGUCCUGAGUCAACGUGGGACAGUGCGUUUGUGUCAUGCCGAAUUUGUUGUCAGGUGUCUUGUGUUUUAAUGUGUGUAGUUCUAUUUGGACAUAUUUUUGCAUUACUAGUUUGGGAUAUUGGACAGUAACUGACUACUUAUCAUGAUGCCGGGGGAGAAUCAUUCCAAACUCGCGUCAGGAGCAACUACCGGAGCCUGUCACAACUGCACUGUGCUUCACCAGAACCUAAACGAAUAUGUUGCAGCUCUGCUGGUUUUGAAACAGAGAAGUAUUGACUCCGAUCACCUGCUGAGGGAAUAUCAAGGAAAGUGUGAAGAUAUCCUUUCAAAAGUCCAUUCACUCUCUUCACUUAGGUCUCAGCCAUUCACUCUCUUCACUUAGGUCUC